rnacentral:rRNA from 1 species
UUAUCGUUAGAGCUGUCCUCAGAUAUAAAAGUAUGUGUAGAAAUCAGUACCUUUUGUAUAAGCGCCUGUUAAGUUGUCAUAUGUAUUAUAUUGCCCCCGAAUAUGGGGAAUCUAUUUUGUUUAGAAUCAGGUGCGUGGCAUAGCGCUUGCUAAAUUCAAAAUAAUUGGUUAUAUGCCUUUUGCUCCUAUGGUUAUCUGGUUGGUUCCGAAAAGCAUUUAGUGCUGGCUUUGUUUAUAAGUCUGACAACUUAUUGGACAAGCAAUAAGUUUUUGUAUUGACAGAGGUGAAAGGUUAAGCUUGGGUGGCUUUAAUAUUGAGUAUCUUUAGUUUGUUAUAAAUAAUGUUUGUGUGACUGCAAUACAUACUUAUGUCAUUGGGGUGUAGGAACCUAGGUCUUGUAAGUUCAUAACUAUGAUUGGAUGAGUAGAACGAAAUUAUGCCUAUAGCUCGUUAAUUUUUUAUUAAGUUAGUGAGAGGUAAGAGUGUUUUAAAUUAAAAUUUAUCUAAUGAACUCGGCAAUACGGCCUCUCGAAUGUUUAUCAAAAACAUUUCUUUAAGUAGAUUUAAAGUAGGCCCUGCCCACUGCGUAAGUAAAGGGCCGCAUUAGCCUGAGUGUGCUAAGGUAGCGCGAUAAUUUGCCUUUUAAUUGGAGGCUGGUAUGAAAGGGUUGACGUGGGGGAUUCUGUGUCGGAUGAAUGUAAUUGAAGUUAAUUUUAAGGUGAAGAAGCCUUAAUACCCUAGAAGGACGAUAAGACCCUAGAAGCUUCGUUUUUUAUUUUGUAAUUUAGUUUUGUUGGGGCAACAGGGCUAGUAACUAUGGCUCUUAGGUUAGACUUUCCUACUGGAGUGAGACUGCUGAGGUAUGAGUGGUUAAGUUACUUUAGGGAUAACAGCGUUAUUUCUUUUGAUAGUUCGUAUUGGAAAAGAAGUUUGCGACCUCGAUGUUGAAUUAAGGUGUCCUUUAGUUGUAGGAGACUAAAAAGGUUGGUCUGUUCGCCCAUUAAAACCUUACAUGAUUUGAGUUCAGACCGACGUGAGUUAGGUCAGUUUCUAUCCUCUAGAUGUUUACCUCUUCUUGGUACGAAAGGACU